rnacentral:misc_RNA from 1 species
UGCAUGCGCACGUCACGCGACAGCGGACUCGUCGAAUCGUCGUGUUUGGAUGGGAUUAAUGAAAUCUGCGUGUUGCUUUGAAUUUGACGGAUCUGGAACAUAGAUUUCCCAAUUGAAACUACGAGAGACAGUGGAGAAGGAGCAAGAUGUCGAAAGAUAAAAUAGCUGUGUUUCCAUCUCGCAUGGCCUUGACCACCAUGAAGAUUAGACUGAAAGGUGCACAGAAGGGUCACAGUCUUCUGAAGAAAAAGGCAGAUGCGCUCACUCUGAGGUUCAGACAAAUCCUUGGAAAAAUUAUUGAGAACAAAACAUUAAUGGGAGAAGCAAUGAAGCUUGCUUCUCUGUCUCUUGCAGAAGCAAAGUUUGCAAUGGGAGACAUAAGUCACAAUGUUCUUCAGAAUGUAACUAAAGCACAGACGAAAGUUAGAUCAAAGAGAGAGAAUGUAGCUGGAGUCAAUCUACCUGUCUUUGAACAUUACACAGAUGGAGCAGACACUUAUGAACUGACUGGUCUUUCACGUGGAGGGCAGCAGAUUGACAGACUAAAGAAAAACUAUGCCAAAGCUAUUGAGCUCCUCGUUGAGUUAGCCUCUCUCCAGACCUCCUUCAUUACUCUUGAUGAAGUGAUCAAAAUCACCAACAGACGUGUUAAUGCCAUCGAACAUGUCAUCAUUCCACGUAUAGAAAACACCAUCUCCUACAUCACUACUGAACUUGAUGAACGAGAGAGGGAAGAGUUUUAUCGUUUGAAGAAGAUCCAAGAAAAGAAGAAGAAGAUAAAGGCCAAGGAGGAAGCAUUAAGAAAGAGCAGACAAGCGCAGGGAGACUAUGGGGAUUCCAGGAAUUUGAUAGAUGAUGAUGUAGAUGAAGAUUUAUUGUUUGACUCAUAGUGCAAUAAUAGGAAAAGAUGUAGAGGGAGAAAUUUAGUAAAGAAAUAUAUUAUAUCUAUUUACAUUUGGAGGUAUUGUAUGUUGGUUAUGAGAUAUUUUCUUUUUAAAAUGACAAUGAUUAGGAAUGUUAUGGGUUACUGAGAUAAAGAUGUCUUCUUUUUUUUAAUUCAUUUAAUGCAAAAACUUUAAUAUUUUGUGUAUAAUAUAUUAUAUUGUAUGUUAUCUUAUUUGACAGUUCAUUUGAGUAAAUAUCAAAUCAAUAGUAGUCAUGUGAUGUUCAUUUGUUUACAGCCAGAAUGUUAUCCAAACCUGAAACCCAGUACUUGAAUACUUAACCAAAUACAAUCUAAUACAUUGUAUAGUUAGGAUAAUAACUAUGUUUUGUUCAGAAUUCUAAGUAUCAUGAGAGUUCAUAUUAUGUGUGUUAAAUAAGUGGUACCUGUUGGCUCAUUUAGCCUAAAAGGGUUACUUCAGGCUAAAAAUUAUGUUAUCUGAACAGCAACAGUAAAAUUAAAUGAACAAAAUUAUGAAUAUUUUUAUCAAAGUUAGUAGGGGGAAAACAAUGUCAUGACUUAAUGACAAUCAAAAUGUUGCAUUAUUUUGGCAAAACAAUUCUAUAACAUCCUCAUAAGGCUCAUAAAUAUACAACGAGCGAGCUGAUAUUUUCAAUUUCAGUGUUUGGAAAUAUUUUUUUUUGGCCUCUGAGAAUGUAACAUUGGAUUGACUGCUGAUUUUCUGUGUAAGGUAAUAAUUUUCUUUUUACACACAUUAUGAAAUGAAGUAAGAAAAGGGAAAGUGGAGGACAUGACAUCAUCAUCCCAAUUUUUCUUAUAUUAGGUAUCAUUAUUAUUUUCAGACUGAUGUAUCCCUUUAAAUACUGUACUGAACAACUCUUCUACCAUCCCAACUAGUGCAUUCACGACAACAUGCAUAAAAUUGUUUUCACAAAUUAUUGGCAGACUUAAAAUUAGUAACUUCUUUAUAAAUUUAUAUCAGAUUUAUCAGAAUUUGCUGCCAUUUUCAGUGUUUUGCUCAUAUGAUUUUUCUAUAUAUUUAUAUUAGGUAUCAUUAUUUUCAGACUGAAGUAUCCCUUUAAAUACUGAACUGAACAACUCUUCUACCACAGUGUAUCAUCUGAAUAGUAUGGUUUGUUGUGCUGGAUGAUUUGAUUGAUUUACUGACCUUUCUGGCCACUUAUUCAUCCAUGUUCUUAAGAUAAAGAUACUUCCAUGUAUUCCUUUACCCUGAGUUAUCUAUUUUAACAAGAUAAAAAUGACUAGGUGACAUACUUACUGUAUGCCAUCCCUAUUUUGUCAGUAUGGAAUCUCAAUCAAAUUGGGGCUAUGUGUGAAGGGAGGGGGGGGGGUCACUUAGGUCACUUAAAGGAAAUUGUGAAGUUUUUCUGCUCGUGGUAUGUUUAGGAAUACCUUACCUUCUUUUGAAUUUGCCACUUCUUUCUUUUUACAUUCCAAUACCGGGGAGAGUGUAGAGGUAAUGCCUUUCUAAAAGGGGGGAAAAAUCCUUUCAUGGCAACUAUUGUAUGAUUGGUUUCAUUUAACAACAAGCAUAAUUUUCAAAUAUAUUGCAGGUUGUGUUAAUGCAAAAGUGAGACAAGGUUUUGGCAAAACAAGUGAUCACGUGUAAGUUGUAAACAUGUAUCGUGCAUUUAAAUGUUAUCAUCGUAUGCUUGUUUUAUUUAGUGUAAUUAUUGCAAUGUUCAGUACUGGAUAUUCAAAUUGCAAGGGUGUCAUAAAACUGUCUUCAGUUGUGUAAGUAAAAAGAUUACAUAUGGUACCAAAUAUAAAGAUCUAACAAAUCAUGUGAAUGUAUAGGUUUUUUUUCUUCUUGGUUAAAAGGAGAAUUAAAACCUUGGAACAAGUUAGCUUGUAUGAAAAAAAAAUAAUAAGAUCGGUAAAAGUACAAUGAGAAAAUAAUAUGAAAGUUAUGAGCACUUGAAUUUCAAAAUCACUAAUGCUAUGGAGAUCCUCUCAUUGGCAAUAUGUUUUUCCAGCAUUCUAAUAUUAGAACAAACUGUCCAUGAUAUAUUUUAUGAAACCUCUAUUACAUGGCCUCCCAUGAAAAAUAUGCCUGAUCUGUGGAUAGACUUAAUGAAAUGACAAAAUAUGUAGAAAAUAACUUGUAAUAACAAGUUGCGACAUCAUUCAUUUUGGUUGCAUUGCCAAUAGAAGGAUGUCCACAUCAUAGUGAUCUCAACAUUCAACUGCUUAUAACUUCUUUGUUUGUUCAGCUUUUCUCAAAUUUUCAUUGAUUUGUGUCUUUGAUUUUUCUAUUUUCAUUCAAGCUAACUUGUUCCUUGGGUUUGUUCUCCAUAUUAGAUGGUCUUGUUUUUUAUGGGCAGAGGAGACAAAAGUCAAUGGGCAGAGGAGACAAAAGUCAAUUUAAUGAAAUAGUUCAAGUACAUGGAAAUAGAUAUCAAAUCUAGAAACGGGUUCGAAUCUUAAAUUACUAUAUAAUGAAGUUUUUCAUGUAGUGACAUACAUGUAUGAAUUUUAAUUGAAUCAAGUUUGGUGCAAUAUUACAUUUUGUCAUUAGGAUUACCGGUACUAAAUUUUGUGAAAUGAUAAACUCUAAAAGGCACUUAAUAGCCCUUUCCGAUUUACAGUCAUUUUGCUGGCUGAAGUGAUAAUUUGGCAAACCAAAAUUCAGAUGUGAAGGUGUUUGGGCAAAGAGUUGGUUCUGGUCUGACCAAGACAAAAAAGCUUUUUUGCUGGCACAAUAUUCCAAGGCCAUGCAUGCAUGUAUGUAGAUACAGGUACAUGGAUAGUGGCAAUAUGUGUUUAGGCUGGACCAACAAUUUCAUGACCAUUUGUCAGCCCAAAUCUUGAUACAUGAACAGCUUGCUUCAUGUAAAUUCAACCAGCCAAAAUUGCAAAAUAGAUAGGAAGGGGUUUAAGGUUUACUUUUGUCAGCCUUCAUGGAGAAUUUGACACUAUUCUGAUGGGUAUUGGAUAAUUGAUGUCUGUUAUCCAGGUUGGAAUGAGUUUAAUGAGCAGAAUGAGCAGCAUUCUAUGAUAUUAUUUCCCAUCGUCACAUGUGGAAAUGCUGUAUCUACUUUGCCUGACAAACAGCACCUGAAGCCAAUUGCUCCAGAGAUGUUACUAGAGUACAGGUAUCUCGAUUUCUUUUCUUAAUGGCUGGUGUCAGCAACAGUUUUAGUAUACUCUCCAUGAAAUCCAACAAUGUAUUUUACCUACAUGUAUCAAUGAAUACAAAAUAAUUUAGAGUCUGCUUUUGCUUUGAAUAUAAAGUGUUUAUUACAAUAUAUAUAUGAAAAUACAUAAUUCUCAUCAUUUGUAAUGCUUUUUGUGUUGUUCCAUUAACAAUAGAAAGUAUAGCAUAAACCUACAAAAAGAAAAAAAAAAAGAAUUGCACUACUUGGGUUACUUCAUUUUAAUGAAAAUUAAGCAAUAAAAUGGAUACAUGUACAUAUCUAUAGUGAUAAACCAUAGUAAUUGUGUCUUUCUGGCCUUUUGUAAGCCCCGCCUAAGCUUUGAGCAGUCAACAAAUAUUUCAGUCAUAUGAACACCAGUGGACAUCAAGUGUACACACUCCUCAUUUUAUCUACUGGAAUUCAUGAAAAAGUUCUCAUGUAUUCACUAGUGCCCAAAUAACAUAGCAUUUUACUUGGCAAAUAAAAAAAUUAUGGAAAAAGCAAAUAGAUAUUUGACAGGAAUGCAUAUUCAGUAUAUAAUUUGUAGGGUUACAAAGUUUUAUCAUUUAAUGGCAAGCAAAUUUGACUUAAGUUAUCAACUUUUAUUGACAUCUCAGAAGGAUUCCUCAGAUAUGGACAGGCAAAUACUACUCUAACCAUAAUAGAAAAACCUAGGAAAACAAUGAUAGAGGGUUCAUCGAGAAUAUGUGAGAAGAAAGAAAAACCCAAAUGCAAAUUAUUAACCAUAAACUGUAAAAAGUUGUGAUUAAUUUACACAUCUAUUAUAUUAAAUUACGAUUUAAAUCAGAUUUCUCACAAACAUCAUUUACAUACAGCAUUUUAAAUAAGAUAUAAAAAUAUACCUAAGCAAAUCGAUUCUGCCAUGAGACUUCUAAUAUCCAGAGCAUAUGAG